rnacentral:rRNA from 1 species
GACGAACGCUGGCGGCGUGCUUAACACAUGCAAGUCGAACGGUAAGGCCCUGCUGUUGUGGGGUGCUCGAGUGGCGAACGGGUGAGUAACACGUGAGUAACCUGCCCUUUACUUUGGGAUAACGUCAGGAAACUGGGGCUAAUACCGGAUAGGAGCUCCUGCUACAUGGUGGGGGUUGGAAAGUUUCGGCGGUUGGGGAUGGACUCGCGGCUUAUCAGCUUGUUGGUGGGGUAGUGGCUUACCAAGGCUUUGACGGGUAGCCGGCCUGAGAGGGUGACCGGCCACAUUGGGACUGAGAGACGGACCAGACUCCUACGGGAGGCAGCAGUGGGGAAUAUUGCACAAUGGGCGGAAGCCUGAUGCAGCAACGCCGCGUGCGGGAUGACGGCCUUCGGGUUGUAAACCGCGUUCGCCUGUGACGAAGCGUGAGUGACGGUAAUGGGUAAAGAAGCACCGGCUAACUACGUG